rnacentral:misc_RNA from 1 species
UUUAGUAUACAAUGUAUUAUUUAAAAUAAAAUGAUAGUACAUAUGUGAACUUUUAUAUUUCAUUCAUGAAAAUUACAGACUAAGGUACCCGAAAAAUCCAAGUCUAGCGCGGCUAUCAUUAUUAUUUUUACAUAUCAUACACAUAUAGUACAAUUAAUAUAUGAUCAAGCAGAAGCUGCAGCUUUGCAAAUUGGGAGGUCCUUUGGAGAAUUAGGUGGAAUAUUGAGAAUUGGGUUGCUCUCAAAGAAAUUAACUGGUUUUAUCUCAAAGCUUGAUGAUACUGUUGGCAUUAUUGGGAAAUCCUCUUGGCAUGGAAUAUGAUGGAACCCUAAUGUAUACCACAACACUAUGUCUUUAUUCUCAAUUGCCCUGUCUCUGUCAGACCAAACAGCAAGAGUAUCAUCACCUUGACUUUGAUAAACAAACAAGCCAGCAGCCCAUUGCUCAGAUUCAUUAUAAGGUGUGACCCAAAUUUGGUUAUUAGUAAAAGCAGCUCUUUUCUGAGGAGGAUCAUUAUGGUCAAGUAAACUAGCUGCAGUUCCACCAGGAACAACUUUGUAACCAACAGGGUUCCCAACUCUAGACUUCUUAUUAGAAUUAAUUACAUGGAAUUCUGAAGGAUCAUAUAGUUUGAGCUUAAUUUGUGCAUCUUUUUCAGUUUUAGCCACAUUUCUAACAGCUUUUAAGUAGCUUCUUCGCGGUGAUUCUCCAGAAGAAGUCAUCUCCUUCUGGAGAUUCACCUUCACGAAGGAAUUGUUCGAUGGACCAUCGAUGUCCAUGUCGAGAUGGAAAGUUACAUAGUGAUCAUGGAUGACUCCUACUAUGUUUUCAGAUAAGAGAGUGCCAUAAAGAUACUCAUUUUGGUUUACUUCAUUCAUGUUCACAUAGGGAGAGCCUUUCACCAUCAAUAUUCCACUUAGUCCAACCUUAGGUCGAAUAAGUCCAUCGUUCUGAAACUCCCAAUCGACAAUAUAAUCAUAAUUUGCUACUGACGCUGCCAUUCUCACCACUAACGUCACCUUUGGCCUUACUUCUCGUAUCGGUAAACCAGUAAUUGGACAUUCAGCAUGUCGCCAUCCAAUAUCACCAGCAUAUCUUUCAAACACACAAAUCAUAUUGGAUCGCACAUAUGGUGUUCCAUCAGCUGCCACAAAUACACCAUCCAUAUAAUACGCAUUACGAGGACAAUCAUUUAACGGGUCAAGUGGCAUCGCUUGUAACCCGAACCCGUAUUCACCUGCAUCCAUAUACGUCUUAAAAUACCAUGCAUCUGAUGGAUCCAUGUAAGGUACAAACAACUCCGACGUAAACCCUUUAUACAUAACAUUCCUCAUCUUCCCCGUAUCCGGAUCCUCAAACAUGACCCGGGAUAUAAUCACCCCGGCUCUCGGAUCCGGCUUCAGGUGAAAUUCCCAAUUUGCCCAUUUAACUAGAUGAUUGUUUUCUAUAGUGAAACUUGGACCAUUUGGUUGUUCGAUUGAUAUUGGUUUGAGUAAGUUUAUUUUUUGUUUGUUUUUUUUAAUACGAGAGUAGCGAUAGUCUGUGUUGGCGGCCUUUGGUAUUGGUAUACUCUCUCCUUCAUCGAAAAUUUCAAUAACUUGUUGAGUGUCUAAAUCAAGAAGUACGGUUAAUCCUUCAAUCGGUCUCAUAUAGAAAUUGAUAGUGUCCUUCAAUGUAAAAGACUGUACUUUAAUCACUCUUCGUUUCUCCUCGAUUUUUCCAUACCAACCAGCAGCGACGGGUAGACAUGCCAGGUCAGCCAAAUCAACGCCACGCUGGAUAAUCGAACGGUUAAAAUCAGAGUUGGCAAACGGGGCAGAAGUGGCGGAGAUCAUAUCCUCGAUAGUCAGGAUCGGGUAACCCGAAUAACUACCCGUUUCACGUCGGGUCACACGACCCGUUUCAAUAUCCACUGAAAGCACGUGCACGACGCCGAGCGCACGCGCAACGACGGCCGCCUUCCGCGGUGGAAGCCGGUGACCUCUCCGCCAGUUCAACACUACCUCCUUCUCCGGCUCUUCAAGUACAACAGAGUGAAGAACGCAACCUUUAAUCCUAAAUUCCGCAAUUGAAUGAACGAUUUUCUUCACUUUUUGAAUUUCGCCGAUUGUCAGUGGGUCUAAAGGAUGAUUGGGGAAAUCGGCGUAGUGAUUUUUGGAAUUUUCCGGUUGCCGGAGGAAAAAGGGCUUUUUCGAACUGCACCACGGGGAGUAAGUGGUGCAGUCGAAUAGCUGAUCCGUUGUGUGAGAAAGCGGAGAUGGUAAGUUUAAGAAAGUGAAAAUUAAGAGCAAAAUUAUACUCAUGAGGAAGAAGAGAUUUCUUCCUUCCAUGGCUGGCUAUUG